CGAGGACCCCGGCUCGGCGCCCGCUUACCUGCGGUGGCUCAGCUCCCAACCCGCAACGGCGCCCGCGGGCGGCCGACGGGAGGCGGUGGCUGGACGGCGACGUCUCCAUGGCAACCGUGUGGCGCGUCACGUGGAACUUAGAGCCCAACUGCCAAAAAAGAUGUAUUAAAGUGCAAAGAAAGAUGGAGUGUGGCUGGGUUGGGCUGGGACCCAGGAAACCGGCUUCCAGUCUCAGGAACCCCCUGUGGUUCUGCAGCAGGAACAAGGGCAACCACUUCCUCAUCUAAGUUCCUUCGGCCUCUUUCUCAUCAGCCAAGCUUUGCCCCAUCCUUAACGAAGGCCCUACGAAGACUAGAUAGUUUCACUGGCCUAAGCACACUAGGAAUUUUCCUCUUUUCUGUGCCUUUCACCUGGCUUCCAAGUGAAUAAAAAUUUAGAAAGACA